GCAUGGGUUUGGGUUGCUGGUAGGUCCGUGCUCCGGGACCCUUCAUAGCGCCCAGGCCAGAGCAGGCUUCGGCCCCACAACAUUGCCUGGCCCUCCCAGGGGACAGCAGGUGCUGAAGCAGGUCACAUAGUA
ensembl:snoRNA